rnacentral:rRNA from 1 species
AAGCGGAAGAAGAGAAACUAACAAGGAUACUGUUCGUAAUGGCGAAUGAACACUGUUUUACCACUAUCGAACCUUACAUUAACUCAAUGUAUGGAGUGUGAUAUUGGUGUGAUUCGAUGUGAUCGUCUUUAGCUAUGAAAGUUUGAUUGAUUGCAACUAUUCAUAGAGGGUGAAAGUCCCGUGUCACUGCUAAUUGACGAUUCACUUGUUUUGCGCAUGAGUAAAGCUGUUUCGAACUGCAGCUUGAAUGUACGUGGUGAACUCCAUGUAAGAUUCAAUAUGUUUGCGAGACCGAUAGAGGACAAGUACCGUGAGGGAAAGUUGAAAAGUACUCUGGAAAGAGAGUGAACAAGCCUGUGCAACUGUACAUUGCAAAGCGAAUGACAGAAAGUGCAAACUCGUUGUUCAAUUGCUUAUUCGUCAAUAAUUGAUUGUUCAUAUUUCUUGGAAAGACGUUAAGCAGCUUGUCUGAGGAGUUUUGCUAAUGCGACGCCUGUCGACUAUGAUCUUUGAUGUGCGAACAAGUAUCGUUUCGUUAUUUGUUGCUCAUCAUGUUAGUGUACUGAGCACUACGACUAACAUGGCUGGUGUUUACUGAUUACUUGACAUCGAUCCACUUUCACUAUUGUGAUUGGUGAAUUGUCAAGUUCACUUGGUGUAUUAGCUCAAUGAUCUGUCAUCUGAACCGUCUUGAAACACGGACUAAGGAGUUCAACUUGAGCGCAAGUCGACUACAUGAAUAAAGUAUGGGGCACAGUGAAAGCAAUCUUGCAAUGAAUGUGAACUGAUGUUGCAAUUGUACACUGAAGGUUAGCACAUGAUCUGGGUGGCAGUUUAUUAUUUGCCUACUGCAACAGAGCGCUUUGGUUGUGACCCGAAAGA